CAAUAAAAGAAGAGGACAGAUUACAGCCUGAACCUGAUAAGAUAUUUUAUAUUAUUUUUCACGGUGAUCUUAAUUAAGCAAGAGAAUAGAUAUUUUGGUACAUGAUAGAAGCAGCUGCUGAUAACCUGGACUUCGAGGGCCAGGGGCUUCCUAAAAGCAAGAAUAUGAGGAAAAGAGAGAAACAGGGGAACAUUCGAAUCUAGCAAAUCCUUCAUUGUGCCAGCUUGGCUCCUCUGUGUUUGCAUUGUGAUAUCAAGCAUAGUCUGUGAGAUAUGCAGGCCUGGGAACAUUCGAAUCUAGCAAAUCCUUCAUUGUGCCAGCUUGGCUCCUCUCUGUUUGCAUUGUGAUAUCAAGCAUAGUCUCUG